rnacentral:lncRNA from 1 species
CGCGCCGAAUCCAUCACAAAAAGAAAAAAUAAAGAAAAUAAAGAAAAAAACGCCACCGCCAUCUAGCGGUCAAAUUUGGAAACUACCCCUAAAAUUCUCACCUAAAUUUCUCACAAGAACACUACUCACAAUUCACUGUGCUGGUUAUUUCCCAUUUCCUUGGCGUUUCUAUACAAAAUCCUUAUAUAAAUGAAGUGAAAUGGUUUUUUUAUAUUUUAUUUUUUUGUGUGAUGGAUUCGGCGCGCCAUACUUUGCUUGCCAAUUCCUUCAAAAUAUUUUUUUUGAUUGUAUGACAUAAUUGCUUUGAUCAAAAUUUAUGUUAAAAGGGUCCAUUAUUUUGAAUGAAAUGAUUUUUUGUAUGUUAAAUCAUGUUUAUUUUAGAGACUUCCUCAUUCAAAUGAGUAAUAGUGUUAAAUAUUCAUUGAAUCUACAGUAAGAUCAACGUGAAUAAAUAGUGGAAAGCAAAAAGACACCUAGUAGAGGAAUUUUGUACUGCUUUAUUAAAUCAUGCUGUGUCGUCUGCGUUCCUCGUGGCUAGCUUUCACCUCACGUUUCACUGUUUUGUCGGCGGUGUAUUGCUCUGUUAAUGGUCGAAAUAUAGAAAAAGAAGAAACAAAAAAGCUGUCAUAGUACAGAGUGCAUCAACAAUUUUUGAGUUUGUAUGUCAUUUACUCAUUUCUCAAACUGAAAGACAUCAACAGGCAAUGAGACAGCAGUGAAGCUGCUACAUAAAUAAGUAGGAAAAGAUGCGCACAAACAUUGAGCUGGUGCCCUUUCAACAACGGACCCAAUGACCAACUGAGCUUUGAGACCAAGUCUUUUAUGAAAUAAAAAACUACUUCAGCGCAAUUACCAGUUGUCAAGCUGAGUUAAAAUCAGAAAGGACAACUUGAAAUAUUCCAUAUCAUCAAGGCGUUGAUACCAGUAGUUGAGAUGGAGAAUCACUGCUUUUGCAAUUACAGUAGAGAAAUAAUGGAAAUAAAAGGUGGACGAUGCUAAAUUUCGUCGAUUGACCGCCCAUAUUCAAAUCGUGCAUCAAUCUGACAUUCUGAUGCCCUUGCCAAUGAAAGUGAAGCGGCGACAGGGAUCAGCAUCAGCGGCCCUAUCCAAAUCAACAGCAGCUGCCGAGUGGUCCUUGGAUCGCGAAAUUACUUGCCAGUUUAGUGUCGCCUAUACGCCAAUUAUUUCUUUGGUCGACUGCGUUGCAUCGGAGUCUCAACAUCACCGCGAUUAGUUGCCAGAAGGAACACAGAUAUCCUACAGGGAGAUUGAGUCUUUAGUAGAUUGGUCUUAGUUCGCCCCCAGUUAAUCUGGCUGAACAAAUUGAGUCGCAGCAGGAAACUUCUUGUGAUUUUUCCAUGGAAAUAGAUAUGGAAUUCGAUUACAUGUUGCAGAGUUUAGAUCGUGGACCGAAUCAUUCAUUUGGCUGAAGAAGAUGUCGGUUCUCUCGGAUGACUCGGCGUAAUAUCUCACACAUCUUGUCCAGGAGCAACUCACUCCCACCAUUUGGGGGUCCAAAAUUCCGCUGAAUUCAUGUAGAAGGAUCGAUACGAACGUUGUUCACCCUUUCAUUCGUGGCGCCAUUUGUGAAUACCAAUUAUGUAUAGGAAGAGAUGGAUACUUUGCACCAAAAUUCAUG